UUCAGUCCUUCUGAGUCUAGCAAGCUAAUUAAGAAACAAAAUGUGAUUACGUCCAUGAUAGGAGAACAUGUUUCCUCAUAGUUAAUACCAAGUCUUUGUGAGAAACCUUGUGUUAUCGCAUUUUAUAUCUUAUGAUCUCAUUAUUCUUAUUGCACUUUCGUAUAAAUACCAUUUGUACCCAAUAAGUUUUACAUCCUUAG
rnacentral:lncRNA from 1 species